rnacentral:tRNA from 3 species
GCGGGCGUAGCCAAGUGGUUAAGGCACCGGAUUGUGAUUCCGGCAUUCGGGGGUUCAAGUCCCCUCGUCCGCC